rnacentral:rRNA from 1 species
CCUACGGGUGGCAGCAGUAAGGAAUAUUGGACAAUGGACGAAAGUCUGAUCCAGCCAUGCCGCGUGAAGGAUUAAGGUCCUCUGGAUUGUAAACUUCUUUUAUAUGGGACGAAAAAAGGGAAUUCUUUCUCACUUGACGGUACCAUAUGAAUAAGCACCGGCUAACUCCGUGCCAGCAGCCGCGGUAAUACGGAGGGUGCAAGCGUUAUCCGGAUUUACUGGGUUUAAAGGGUGCGUAGGCGGAUAGGUAAGUCAGAGGUGAAAGCCUGGAGCUU